UACGGAGGGUGCGAGCGUUGUCCGGAAUCACUGGGCGUAAAGGGCGCGUAGGCGGCCUGAUAAGUAGGGGGUGAAAUCCUGCGGCUUAACCGCAGGGCUGCCUUCUAAACUGUCAGGCUUGAGCACAGUAGAGGCAGGUGGAAUUCCCGGUGUAGCGGUGGAAUGCGUAGAGAUCGGGAAGAACAUCAGUGGCGAAGGCGGCCUGCUGGGCUGUGCUGACGCUGAGGCGCGACAGCGUGGGGAGCAAACAGG
rnacentral:rRNA from 1 species